AUUUGGGUUCUUUUUUUUUUUCUUACAUUCCAGUGGUUUGAUUAGUAACUUGUUUGUCAAGUAAUCUUUGGAUCUCUAACUAAUUUUACUGCAAUGAAUUGCUCCGUAAUACAAUAUUAAAUAAGGUAUAUGUGAAGAGUCUUUUAAGUUAAACUUGGAGAGCAACACAUGGAACAUUUGGAUAAGAAGAGUAAUUAUUGUAACGCAAAAACGUGAACGAAAGCUUUGGAAAUCAAGAGUCACGUAGAAGAGGAAACAUGCAGCCUGAACAUGGCAGG
rnacentral:lncRNA from 1 species